CACGGCGAUGGCCGAGCCGGUCUGGGCCACAUCCUUUUCGGGGCUGAUGGCGGCCACGAUCUUGCCGGUGUUGUUGAUCGUGGUCAGCGUGCCGGAU
rnacentral:tRNA from 1 species